CAGGCUUUGAGUACCAGGUCCACAGAGGCAGAGGUCCACCAUAGCAGACAGGACCCGAGAUGCAGGCUGUGCAAAGAUGCCCCUGAGGCAGUCCAGCGCAUAGUGGCAGACUGCAAGAUGCAUGCUGGGAUAGCAGACACUGAGAGGCAUAGCCAAG